rnacentral:rRNA from 1 species
CCUACGGGAGGCAGCAGUGGGGAAUAUUGGACAAUGGAGGCAACUCUGACCCAGCAACGCCGCGUGAGUGAUGAAGUUCUUCGGAUUGUAAAGUUCUGUCAGCAGGGAUGAAAACAAUGACGGUACCUCAAUAGCAAGCCACGGCUAACUACGUGCCAGCAGCCGCGGUAAUACGUAGGUGGCAAGCGUUAUCCGGAUUGACUGGGCGUAAAGGGUGCGUAGGUGGCUUAGUAAGUUGGCGGUGUAAUGCCGGGGCCCAACCUCCGCGCUACCGUGGAAACUGUUAGGCUAGAGUGCAGGAGAGGUAAGUGGAAUUCCUAGUGUAGCGGUGGAAUGCGUAGAUAUUAGGAGGAACAUCAGGGGCGAAGGCGACUUACUGGACUGUAACUGACGCUGAGGCACGAAAGCGUGGGGAGCAAACAGGAUUAGAUACCCUUGUAGUC